UACGAAGGGGGCUAGCGUUGCUCGGAAUCACUGGGCGUAAAGCGCACGUAGGCGGGUUGCUAAGUCAGGGGUGAAAUCCUGGAGCUCAACUCCAGAACUGCCCUUGAUACUGGCGGCCUUGAGUCCGGGAGAGGUGAGUGGAACUGCGAGUGUAGAGGUGAAAUUCGUAGAUAUUCGCAAGAACACCAGUGGCGAAGGCGGCUCACUGGCCCGGUACUGACGCUGAGGUGCGAAAGCGUGGGGAGCGAUCCGG
rnacentral:rRNA from 1 species